rnacentral:rRNA from 1 species
CCCUUCGGGGACAUUGGUGACAGGUGGUGCAUGGUUGUCGUCAGCUCGUGUCGUGAGAUGUUGGGUUAAGUCCCGCAACGAGCGCAACCCUUGUCUUUAGUUGCCAUCAUUAAGUUGGGCACUCUAGGGAGACUGCCAGGGAUAACCUGGAGGAAGGUGGGGAUGACGUCAAAUCAUCAUGCCCCUUAUGCUUAGGGCUACACACGUGCUACAAUGGGUAGUACAGAGGGUUGCCAAGCCGUAAGGCGGAGCUAAUCCCUUAAAGCUACUCU